UACGGAGGGUGCUAGCGUUGUUCGGAAUUACUGGGCGUAAAGCGCGUGUAGGCGGCCCGCUAAGUCUGAUGUGAAAGCCCGGGGCUCACCCCCGGAAGUGCAUUGGAGACUGGCGGGCUCGAGUCCCGGAGAGGAGGGUGGAAUUCCUGGUGUAGCGGUGAAAUGCGUAGAUAUCGAGAGGAACACCGGUGGCGAAGGCGGCCAACUGGACGAAUACUGACGCUGAGACACGAAAGCGUGGGGAGCAAACAGG
rnacentral:rRNA from 1 species